AACGGCCGUACCAUGCUGAAUAUACCGGUUCUCGUUAGAUCACCGAAGUUAAGCAUCAUUGGGCGCGGUUUCCAGUACUUGGGUGGGUGACCACCUGGGAACACCGCGUGCCGUU